UGCGUGGGCGGACUAAUAAGUCAGUGGUGAAAUCUUUCGGCUCAACCGGGAAACUGCCAUUGAUACUGUUAGUCUUGAGUUCGGUUGAGGUAGGCGGAAUGUGUAAUGUAGCGGUGAAAUGCUUAGAUAUUACACAGAACACCAAUUGCGUAGGCAGCUUACUAGACCGACACUGACGCUGAGGCACGAAAGCGUGGGGAGCGAACAGGAUUAGAUACCCUGGUAGUCC
rnacentral:rRNA from 1 species